rnacentral:rRNA from 1 species
UACGUAGGCAGCAAGCGUUGUUCGGAGUUACUGGGCGUAAAGGGUGUGUAGGCGGUUUGUUAAGGGUGCUGUGAAAUCUCCCGGCUUAACCGGGAGGGUGCGGUGAAUACUGAGGGACUAGAGUACGGGAGAGGAAAGUGGAAUUCCUGGUGUAGCGGUGAAAUGCGCAGAUAUCAGGAGGAACACCGAUGGCGAAGGCAGGUCUCUGGGCCACUACUGACGCUGAGAAGCGAAAGCAUGGGGAGCGAACAGG